rnacentral:rRNA from 1 species
CCUACGGGCGGCAGCAGUGGGGAAUAUUGGACAAUGGGCGAAAGCCUGAUCCAGCCAUGCCGCGUGUGUGAAGAAGGCCUUCGGGUUGUAAAGCACUUUCAGUGGGGAAGAAAGCCUUGGGGCUAAUACCCUCGAGGAAGGACAUCACCCACAGAAGAAGCACCGGCUAACUCCGUGCCAGCAGCCGCGGUAAUACGGAGGGUGUGAGCGUUAAUCGGAAUUACUGGGCGUAAAGCGCGCGUAGGCGGUCUGAUAAGCCGGUUGUGAAAGCCCCGGGCUCAACCUGGGAACGGCAUCCGGAACUGUCAGGCUAGAGUGCAGGAGAGGAAGGUAGAAUUCCCGGUGUAGCGGUGAAAUGCGUAGAGAUCGGGAGGAAUACCAGUGGCGAAGGCGGCCUUCUGGACUGACACUGACGCUGAGGUGCGAAAGCGUGGGUAGCAAACAGGAUUAGAUACCCCUGUAGUC